UAAAACAUUUAUUUAUAUUAGCCUUAAAAAUAAUUAAAUAUUUUUAAAAUUGCAUGAGCUUAUACUAUAAAGUGAUCAAAUCAUAUUUUUUUUAUUACAUACAAAAAGAGAAAAACAUGGUUAUGAUUCUCCAGUUUGUUUCUGUAAUAACUUUACUUUUGUCCCUAAUCCUUCUUUCAAAAGAGGAGGGAGAUCCACUUAGAUGUGAAACCGACGCGGAUUGCCCUUUAAUUCGUCACCUAUAUCCUUUAGUUUAUAAGUGCAUUAAAAACUACUGUGAAGCUGUUAAACUACCUGUCAUUUAAAUUUUAUGUUGUCACCCAAUAAUUAUACUUUUAAGUGUUUUUAUUUUUAUUUUUUUUAAUUUUGUGUACUCUAAAAUAUUAUAGACUUAAUUAUGGUUUUGGUUUUUUAUUUUAUCUGAUUUAUGAAAUUAAUCCCUACUUAUUUUAAAUUUUAAACAGUUUUGGUCCUCUUUCAUAUUUUUGCACUUAAAAUCAAUGAUGUUUUCAUUUUAUAAAUAUCAAAUUAGUGAAACAUGACAAAUCAUCGUAUAUAAAUAUAUUAUAGAAUUUUAUACGUAAAAUUAUAAGUUAAAAAAUAAAAAUCUUAUCAAUUUUCUAUAAAAAAAUGUGAGAGGACUAAAAAUAUUAGAAUUUAAAAUAGGAGAUUAAAACUUUUUAAAUUUAAAACAAGGGGAUUAGUUUCGUGAAUCAAACAAAAUUAAGAAACUUAAAAUGUAUCAAUAUCAUAAUAAAAUAAGGUGUUAAAUAAUAAUAUAAUUAUAUUGUGUCA